GACGAACGCUGGCGGCGUGCCUAAUACAUGCAAGUUGAGCGCUGAAGGUUGGUACUUGUACCGACUGGAUGAGCAGCGCACGGGUGAGUAACGCGUGGGGAAUCUGCCUUUGAGCGGGGGACAACAUUUGGAAACGAAUGCUAAUACCGCAUAAAAACUUUAAACACAAGUUUUAAGUUUGAAAGAUGCAAUUGCAUCACUCAAAGAUGAUCCCGCGUUGUAUUAGCUAGUUGGUGAGGUAAAGGCUCACCAAGGCGAUGAUACAUAGCCGACCUGAGAGGGUGAUCGGCCACACUGGGACUGAGACACGGCCCAAACUCAUACUGGAGGCAGCAGUAGGGAAUCUUCGGCAAUGGACGAAAGUCUGACCGAGCAACGCCGCGUGAGUGAAGAAGGUUUUCGGAUCGUAAAACUCUGUUGGUAGAGAAGAACGUUGGUGAGAGUGGAAAGCUCAUCAAGUGACGGUAACUACCCAGAAAGGGACGGCUAACUACGUG
rnacentral:rRNA from 1 species